AGAAACUAUAGUGUUGUUGCUAAGGUCCAACCUUCUUGAGUAUUUCAAUUUAAUGGGAUUUUAAUUUUCUCAUAAUUAAUUAACUACCCUUAAACUUUUAUCUGCUUGACAUAGUGACAACUACUACGCCAUCAUGUUAGUUGCCUCUACUAAUGGACAUGAUUAACGUCUUCUCUCUGUCUCUCUUUAUCUCUACUCGAUAUUUCUUGUCCUAUAUGAACUAAUGUGGGAUCUAGUGUAAUUUGGAAUUUAGGAAAUUUUAUCAUUUAUGAAUCCAAUAUUAUUGUCAUUUGGCAUGUUGAAACUUGUAUAUAUUGGACACAAUGGGAAUCCCAUUAAGGUAAAUGGGCCCUUUUCUAAUAGAUAUUUUUAUAAUAUU
rnacentral:lncRNA from 1 species